rnacentral:rRNA from 1 species
GUGGGGAAUAUUGCACAAUGGGGGAAACCCUGAUGCAGCGACGCCGCGUGAGCGAAGAAGUAUUUCGGUAUGUAAAGCUCUAUCAGCAGGGAAGAAAAUGACGGUACCUGACUAAGAAGCCCCGGCUAACUACGUGCCAGCAGCCGCGGUAAUACGUAGGGGGCAAGCGUUAUCCGGAUUUACUGGGUGUAAAGGGAGCGUAGACGGCUCUGCAAGUCUGGAGUGAAAACCCGGGGCUCAACCCUGGGACUGCUUUGGAAACUGUGGAGCUUGAGUACCGGAGGGGUAAGCGGAAUUCCUAGUGUAGCGGUGAAAUGCGUAGAUAUUAGGAGGAACACCAGUGGCGAAGGCGGCUUACUGGACGGUAACUGACGUUGAGGCUCGAAAGCGUGGGGAGCAAACAGGAUUAGAUACCCGAGUAGUCC